UCCCACGUAGCUCAGUCAGUAAAGCAUCUGCCUCCAAUGCAGGAGACCUGGGUUCAAUUCCUGAAUUGGGAA
rnacentral:tRNA from 1 species